GCCAGCGUAGCUCAACCGGCAGAGCUCCCGCCUUGUAAGCGGGGGGUUGUGAGUUCGACUCUCACCGCUGGCU
rfam:Planctomycetes bacterium DG_58 WOR1_52_54_36398, whole genome shotgun sequence.